rnacentral:misc_RNA from 1 species
UAAGGAGCAUUCUCCAAUCCAAUGUCCACACAGGUGGAUGGUUGGUUGGCAGAGCCUGUUUCGGACCCACUUGUGGUCCGGCGGGAGCUCAUGGGUGGACGCUGACAAACUUGAUCGUCGUACGGUUUCUCCUCUGUGGGAAAUCGACGAACAAUAUAUCGACAUACUGUUGGGUCCUGAGAGAACACGUGAGUGUUUCUUUCUAGGAAGUAACGACAAAUGGCUGCUGCAGGUCAUACCGCAAGAAUUAUUCGUGAGAGUGGUUUUUGUUGGUGUCUGCGUGAGGUGGUUGUUUGUGUGUUGUUUGAGAACUGCACAGUGGACGCGAGCAUCUUUG